AAUAUUGGACAAUGGGCGUAAGCCUGAUCCAGCCAUGCCGCGUGAGUGAUGAAGGCCCUAGGGUUGUAAAGCUCUUUCAACGGUGAAGAUAAUGACGGUAACCGUAGAAGAAGCCCCGGCUAACUUUGUGCCAGCAGCCGCGUCAAUACGAAGGGGGCUGGCGUUGUUCGGAAUUACUGGGCGUAAAGCGCACGAUGGCGGAUUGGUCAGUUAGGGGUGAAAUCCCAGGGCUCAACCCUGGAACUGCCUUUAAUACUGCCGGUCUAGAGUUCGAGAGAGGUGAGUGGAAUUCCGAGUGUAGAGGUGAAAUUCGUAGAUAUUCGGAGGAACACCAGUGGCGAAGGCGGCUCACUGGCUCGAUACUGACGCUGAGGUGCGAAAGCGUGGGGAGCAAACA
rnacentral:rRNA from 1 species